rnacentral:lncRNA from 1 species
AAUCAAUGACUUGAUAUUAGUACAACCAAGAAAACAGAAUAUUAAAACUUAUCCAUUCAUAACAACGAAUACACCAACAACUUUCAUACUGAUCUUCCUGUACAAAAUUAACAUACAACCGUAAUCAUACCCAAUUAAAGAGACAACCUCAAUCAUACAACCGUAAGAGAGGAGCAAAAGAAAAAUACUUCAUGAAUUUUGAUAUCACUCAAAAUUUGGCCAAAUAACAGCAAACAUCUUUUAACCUUUCAAAGUCCAAGAUUGAUCAUGACUAUUAGAAUUUACACACAAACUAUGACUUAAGGUCGCGAGGCCGUGCAAUAGGCAACAACAUAAACUUAUGAUCAUUUAGGAUUUUCACAAAUGCAACACGAAUCAACAACAGCCGAACUCAACGUAUAUACAUAAUCAAACGUAAAAAAAAAUGCACAAUCCAUUUGAAAUCAA